rnacentral:tRNA from 1 species
UCUCUGGUGGCUCAGAUGGUAAAGCGACUGCCUGCAAUGCGGGAGACCCGGGUUUGAUUCCUGGGUCGGGAA